CAGUAGCCGCGGUAAUACGAAGGGUGCAAGCGUUAAUCGGAAUUACUGGGCGUAAAGCGUGCGUAGGCGGUGAGUUAAGUCUGCUGUGAAAUCCCCGGGCUCAACCUGGGAAUUGCAGUGGAUACUGGGUCACUAGAGUGUGGUAGAGGAUAGUGGAAUUUCCGGUGUAGCAGUGAAAUGCGUAGAGAUCGGAAGGAACAUCUGUGGCGAAGGCGACUAUCUGGGCCAACACUGACACUGAGGCACGAAAGCGUGGGGAGCAAACAGGAUUAGAUACCCGUGUAGUCCCUGUCUCUUAUAC
rnacentral:rRNA from 1 species